rnacentral:rRNA from 1 species
AUGGAGAGUUUGAUUCUGGCUCAGAACGAACGCUGGCGGCGUGGAUAAGACAUGCAAGUCGAACGAGAGAAUUGCUAGCUUGCUAAUAAUUCUCUAGUGGCGCACGGGUGAGUAACACGUGAGUAACCUGCCCCCGAGAGCGGGAUAGCCCUGGGAAACUGGGAUUAAUACCGCAUAGUAUCGAAAGAUUAAAGCAGCAAUGCGCUUGGGGAUGGGCUCGCGGCCUAUUAGUUAGUUGGUGAGGUAACGGCUCACCAAGGCGAUGACGGGUAGCCGGUCUGAGAGGAUGUCCGGCCACACUGGAACUGAGACACGGUCCAGACACCUACGGGUGGCAGCAGUCGAGAAUCAUUCACAAUGGGGGAAACCCUGAUGGUGCGACGCCGCGUGGGGGAAUGAAGGUCUUCGGAUUGUAAACCCCUGUCAUGUGGGAGCAAAUUAAAAAGAUAGUACCACAAGAGGAAGAGACGGCUAACUCUGUGCCAGCAGCCGCGGUAAUACAGAGGUCUCAAGCGUUGUUCGGAAUCACUGGGCGUAAAGCGUGCGUAGGCUGUUUCGUAAGUCGUGUGUGAAAGGCGCGGGCUCAACCCGCGGACGGCACAUGAUACUGCGAGACUAGAGUAAUGGAGGGGGAACCGGAAUUCUCGGUGUAGCAGUGAAAUGCGUAGAUAUCGAGAGGAACACUCGUGGCGAAGGCGGGUUCCUGGACAUUAACUGACGCUGAGGCACGAAGGCCAGGGGAGCGAAAGGGAUUAGAUACCCCUGUAGUCCUGGCAGUAAACGGUGCACGCUUGGUGUGCGGGGAAUCGACCCCCUGCGUGCCGGAGCUAACGCGUUAAGCGUGCCGCCUGGGGAGUACGGUCGCAAGAUUAAAACUCAAAGAAAUUGACGGGGACCCGCACAAGCGGUGGAGUAUGUGGCUUAAUUCGAUGCAACGCGAAGAACCUUACCUGGGCUUGACAUGUAAUGAACAACAUGUGAAAGCAUGCGACUCUUCGGAGGCGUUACACAGGUGCUGCAUGGCCGUCGUCAGCUCGUGUCGUGAGAUGUUUGGUUAAGUCCAGCAACGAGCGCAACCCCUGUUGCCAGUUACCAGCACGUGAAGGUGGGGACUCUGGCGAGACUGCCCAGAUCAACUGGGAGGAAGGUGGGGACGACGUCAGGUCAGUAUGGCCCUUAUGCCCAGGGCUGCACACGUACUACAAUGCCCAGUACAGAGGGGGCCGAAGCCGCGAGGCGGAGGAAAUCCUAAAAACUGGGCCCAGUUCGGACUGUAGGCUGCAACCCGCCUACACGAAGCCGGAAUCGCUAGUAAUGGCGCAUCAGCUACGGCGCCGUGAAUACGUUCCCGGGUCUUGUACACACCGCCCGUCACAUCAUGGAAGCCGGUCGCACCCGAAGUAUCUGAAGCCAACCGCAAGGAGGCAGGGUCCUAAGGUGAGACUGGUAACUGGGAUGAAGUCGUAACAAGGUAGCCGUAGGGGAACCUGCGGCUGGAUCACCUCCUUU